UUGACCUAGAGUGGCGUAAGGGUGCGUAACACGUAUGCAAUCUGCCCACAGCCGGGGUAUAGCCCUCCGAAAGGAGGAUUAACACCCCAUAGGAAUAUGAGAUGGCAUCAUUUUAUAUUUAAACCACGGGGCUGUGGAUGAGCAUGCGAUUGAUUAGCUAGUUGGCGGGGUAACGGCCCACCAAGGCUAUGAUCAAUAGGGGACCUGAGAGGGUGAUCCCCCACACUGGCACUGAGAUACGGGCCAG
rnacentral:rRNA from 1 species